rnacentral:rRNA from 1 species
GAUGAGCGCUGGCGGCGUGCCUAAUACAUGCAAGUCGAGCGAACAGAUAAGGAGCUUGCUCCUUUGACGUUAGCGGCGGACGGGUGAGUAACACGUGGAUAACCUACCUAUAAGACUGGGAUAACUUCGGGAAACCGGAGCUAAUACCGGAUAACAUAUUGAACCGCAUGGUUCAAUAGUGAAAGGCGGCUUUGCUGCCACUUAUAGAUGGAUCCGCGCCGUAUUAGCUAGUUGGUAAGGUAACGGCUUACCAAGGCAACGAUACGUAGCCGACCUGAGAGGGUGAUCGGCCACACUGGAACUGAGACACGGUCCAGACUCCUACGGGAGGCAGCAGUAGGGAAUCUUCCGCAAUGGGCGAAAGCCUGACGGAGCAACGCCGCGUGAGUGAUGAAGGUCUUCGGAUCGUAAAACUCUGUUAUCAGGGAAGAACAAAUGUGUAAGUAACUGUGCACAUCUUGACGGUACCUGAUCAGAAAGCCACGGCUAACUACGU